GGAGAGGUGGCCGAGCGGUUUAAGGCAACAGUCUUGAAAACUGUCGUAUCGCAAGGUACCGUGGGUUCGAAUCCCACCCUCUCCGCCA
rnacentral:tRNA from 1 species